rnacentral:lncRNA from 1 species
ACAUAGCGCUUAAGGUAAGGAGGCUUUAGUUAGCGGCCCUGUAAACUCAGCUCAAGUGUUUCAAGUAAACAGACUAAUUACAACAGCACUGGAAGGACCAGCAUGUUUGCUCUGGGAGUGCAGCAAGCAUUGUUUUCUCAAAGCUACUGCAGGACCUUGGAGGCCUCUUAGCUCAGCAGCUACUACAAUUCACAAUGACAAGCAAGAGGCUGCAACCCUUACAACAUAAGAGUUGGUGAUUGGUGGAGUGAUGAGGAAGCCCAGAGAAAACCACAGAAAAGGUAAUACAACUCGUGAUGUACAGAGUGGAGUACAGAGAAGUUGCGGCUCACUGAAAUUAAGAUGAGUCUCCCAGUUGUGUAAACUACUAACAGAUAGUCACUUUCAAAAAGUGAUCAAAUAAUUGAAUCACCAGAGAUAUAUUAAAGGGCUUCCCUGUGGCUCAGAUGGUAGAGCAUCUGUCUGCAAUGUGGGAGAUCCAGGUUUGAUCCCUGGGCAGGG